rnacentral:piRNA from 1 species
UGCAGCGCUCAAACACUAGAGCUAAAGUA